UGUUUUAGUUUUCAUCAUAAAAUUUUCUCCCUUUAGAUAGGAGAGGAACACAAGCAAAAGGAUACAAGGAAAAAGUCCUGGAGGGAACUGAGCACUGUCUAACUGCUAAGACCAAAGAAGCAACAUUAUGCCCUUGAAAAACCAGUGAAGCCAGCGGAAGACUCCCAUUGCCUUUUGUGAGCUUCAGAUCAGCUUGUCAGGAGGUUGUACUGGAGCCUCUGCGGUGACUGGACCUAGAAAGUCGCUAAAAAGAAAGAUAGGUUCACAUGAGAUGGAAACUUGAGGAGAUCCUGUGGGAAAGGAUGAAUUCUGCCACAGCCGUUCAAAAGAAGGCCCCUUUCAGCUUCAGAUCCUUAUACUGCCAAUGGCAUUGGAGCACAAGUGUGUGUGUGUGUGUGUGUGUAUGUGUGUAUGUAAAUAAUAGCUGUGGGAAGGGGAGGGAGCAGUGGCAGAUAGUCAAGGAGUUAAGUGGAACUCAAAAUUAAGUGGGAAUUUUGAGGCUUAUUUGAUGUAACACUUGGCUUUGAGGAUGGAGGAAGUUGGACUUGAAGCAAACCUGCAAAUUACAGCCCAGACUCAUUAGAAAUUAGCUGGUAAUAAUCAGAGAGCCUUAACUGCGUGGAAAAGUAUCUUUAAUCUAGAGAUUAAGGGUUCUAUUGGCUGAAUGUAUUGCUCAUUCACUCAUAGGCUGAAUUAACUAGUGAACUAACAUGAACAAAUCUGUCAAUACAUUCGAUAUAAAUUUUCAGCUCAACUCUGCUGAGCUUUGAUUUAUCACCAAUAGCUGAAAUGAUGCAAAGUUUAUCUUGGAACAGUUUACAUAGGUCUAACAUUGAUGUGAUCGUGACUUUCACUGAAAUGAAUAUAAUUGCCACCCUGCAGAUGUGAUGAGAAAAUAAUAUACCUAGAGCCACUUCAUCCACUUCACGUAUGAAAGUUACAAACCACAACCUCCACCGAGACUCUCUGUGAAACUGUGUCAAUUUUAGACCUAUUGAAUUACUUCAGACUUACCUUGAUACAGGCCAGAUAUUGGCCUACACAAGAUCUUUUUAUAUUUUUAAUACUUAGUUUGCACCCAUCACCCUGAAACACAAAGUUGGCCUGCUGUUGUAGGUUUAUUAAAAAUUGCUAGAAUCCCUGGAUGAGAUUUUUUUGUGUUAGCUGUGUAAUGGCAAAGUCCACAAGCAAGGACUAGGAUUUUACUGUAACAGACUGAUUUUUAGAAGAUCGAAAAAUUAGAGGAUAUAAAAAAAAUCUGCCUAAGUGUUUCAAAGAGAUAAGAGCUGCAUGAAUGCAGUCCAUCCAAACCAAUGAAAAAAACCUAUCUUCAGUGAGUUUUGUAUCAGAUACUCUGAAGAAAGAGCUCAAAUUUGUCUUUAUCAGCAUUGUCAGUUUCUAUUUAAAUGGAAUAUUCCUGGAGCAAGCUGUUUUUUCUGUUGGCUGAAGUUUCUAGCUGGAACACCAAUUUCCAAAUCAAGGUCUUAGCCUAUACAACAGGUUAACUUAUACAUCUCUUCCUUCAGGAUAGCCACAAACAUUUUUGUAUUUCAAAAUUAGUGAGAUUCUUAUAUCAAUAGUGAGUGACAUGAUGGAGCUGUAAGGGCAACUUUGACAAAGGCUGUUGCCUUCGUUUCCUUCAGAUCUGCCAUCUUGCUGGCCAGAAUAGCUCUCUUUAUAUCAUGCAGAUAUAGGAAACAUUCAGGAGCCCAAAGCUGCAAGGACAAUAUUUAAAUAGGCUAGAAGACAUAGUUCAGGCGGUGGAUUGAGGGAGACAUCUGACUCAUGUCAUACUGCAAGACAGGCAGAGGGCUCUGGCUCUGAAGAACCAAAACAGCUUAAAAAAUACUAAUGGUCUAAAGUCCUGGUGAUCUCUAUAAACUGGAAAAAGAGCCCUUGGGCGAUUCAUCAGCGUGGCAGACUGCAGAGGCUGCUCCCGCCCCCAGGCUGUUAUUUCCCCCAGGGAGCCCCUGCAGUGUGCAGAGCUGGCAGCAGCGCCUGGGAAUGGGGCAUGGUCGGACCGUCAGGAGAACUUCCUGCCGAAGCCUCUGUGUGGUAAGAAAAGGCUGAUUCACAAAAUGUUCCUCAGGCUUUCCCAUUCCACCCUGCUGGCCCGACACCAAAAAGCAAGAGACAUUUCUCCACGGAUCUUCUUGUACCCACACUGAGGUGGCCAAAUCCCAUGGACUUUACUUAAGGCUUAUACAGGCGAAACACCCUUUGAGUCAGUGGAAACUUUUUCUGAGCAGCAGUUGAGUAAGAAAGUUUAAGAAAGUAUUGCCAAGUAGAUGGACCGACCAGAUGCUCUAACUGGUCUUUCCCACCUAGCGCUCAAAGGGACAGAAAUCUGCCAUACAGGAGCUUGCGGUAUGUUGGGAAAGAGGAGGAAGCACACUGCUGAAGCAGCAGUGCUUGAAGGCAUCAGGGCUUAGAGUGGUUUAAUUAUCCCUGUGCUGCUGCUAGGAGAAAAUUCUUGCUUCAUCAGUGCAAAAGUCCUUUCAGCACGAGUUGUGCUGGCAGCUAGGGAGCAGGGCCGUACCCUUGAAGCGCCCCGGUACAGCGUGGCCCUUGGGCUGCUCACACGGGCUGCUGGGCUCGGCUCUUCACUGGCCCAGCUCCCUCAGCCAUGCGGCCACCGUUUCUCCUGCGUGGGAAAGGCUUUGGAACAGGGCCCUCUAGUUUGAAGAGAGCAAAGUUUUAAUACAAAUAAUGCUGGAUUUUAAUAUGUAUAUGUGUGUGUGUACAUAUAUAUGAAAAGAGAGAGGAAGAAACUUUAUAUGUACACACAUACAUGCACUUACUUAUUUGCAAAGACUGUACCUUUUAAAGGUAAAGUAGGUGAUAAAAAUUGCAGUGAGGUGGAGUCAAACUUCAGUGCGUAGCACUUGAGUUCUUGUCUCUGGUGUUGUGUUUCUCAUUAGCCUCAGUAUUCACAUUUGAAAAGUCAUUUAUAUUGAUAUUAUUAAAAGUCAUCUGACUCAUAGCUGUGAUGCAGAGGUUAAUUAGCGAAGAAGUUUGGAAGCUCAUGGAAGGCGAAAAGUACGCUAAUGUGUUGUUGCUGUGUUGCUGUUUAUUUCUGUAUAGAAUAGGCCUGGCUGAUCAUGUGCCAUGUACUGCGCUGUGUUGGUGUGAGUGCAGGUGCAUGAUUCAUGUAUCGCCUGUGUGCUCUCUCAUCCAGAAGCGCUGAGGUACUGAUGAAUAAUCAAAGCAUCUGAUCAAAUGAUUUAAAGAAAGUGUGUUAAAGAACUGGUGAGGGCCACAAGAGUGAAAAUUGCCAAGGACUCUUAAUUGCCACAGAUGCUGGUCAGAGUUUUUUACUCACUCAGUCUUGCCUCUUUCCUUAGUUUCUUCACAGUCCCUUAGUUUUCCCUAAUUUGCUGUAAAUACCUGCUGACUGCUCACGUAAGCUGCAUAGUGAGGUGGUGCAAAGUGUGAUUUCCUCACGACUUCUUUUCACUUUGUUUUUUUUGGGGGGGAGAUAAUUCCCUUUGUUUAAUCCCCAUCUCGGUGCUCUGUGCUUUCAGCCGGUGCCAGAGCAGCCGCUGCUGCGGAUGUCUCACAUCCCCCAGGAGCUUGACGAGGAGCUCCCUGGCUUCCUCCUCCAGAGCCCACGUGUCUCCUCCGAUUUUCCUCAUGCAUGCCAUCUUCCUCUUGCUGCUGGUGAUGUCCCCAGUGACCGGGACAUUGUGCGCACGGGAGCACUUCACCAGGCGAGGAAGGGCAGAUGGAGCAUCCUGCUGUGGUCCCCAGCCAGAUGGCGUGGGGUAUUUGUCCUUUUUGAGAGGGCUGGCGAUGCAAGUGGGCAAAAUGGGUCUCUCCACCAACCCAUGUGCACCACUGGCUUCCCAGCCCCAGGUAACCAGCACCGAAGGGGGGAAUUUUGGCCAAUGAUAGGAUCCUCUGCACAGUGGAAGCCCCCCCAGCUGCUGACCCCAUGCUCCUAAAAAUAAGACUGUGUCCAUCUUAUCAGCCUGCCACAGUUCACCCUCUCGCUGAUGUGAAAUGGGUACUAUAUUUACCCAGAAUAAUCAUGAAAAUUGCCAUGACAAUGACCGUGGUUGCUUGGGAAUGCAAGAAACUAAUUUUGCCUGAAUAAUAAGACACAGAGUCAUCUGUCUCCCUUGGUACCACAAAGCAGUUUAUGCAGGUGAGAACAGGUAAUCUUUGUGAGGGCAUAAUUGCAAAAUAUGAAAAUGUUCCUACAUCAGUGCAGACUGGUGACUAAUAAAUAGCUCUAACAUGCUAACGGCUAAAGUUUGAUGCCCUCACUCUGUGCUAAAGAUCUGCGGGAAAGCUGAGAGUCCCUGCCCCCUCAUUUCACCGCUGAAGAGCAAAAAAAAUCACAUUAAAAAAAACUUUAGCCCGAAAAUAACUCUUUACUGUACAUCUUUGCCCAGGGCAAAUUUUUCAUUGGUGAGUAACAGCAUUUUCACAAUCUGCCUUUUAUAUUUAUCUCUCUAAUGCUAUGUAGUAUGCCAAAGUUCAUUUAAAGGAGACUAUAGCUUUUGCUGUUCAAAUCCUCUUGAGGAGAAGUAUAAAAUAUUCACCAAAAACUAAAGCCCUCUAAGUUAGUGCUUUUACUUCUCCAUCAUCCCUCCCCCCACAAAACCUGUGAGGACCAGUUUGGUGAAACGGUGACAAAGGAUCCUGUUCGAACAGCACGGAAAGCAAUAACAGAGACCCCAAGAGCAUCCAAGGCUCUCCAAACAUGCAAAAAAGCCAGUCUCACCAGGGUGGCGCCCCUGAGAAGUGCAACGGUUUGGGAGAGCAGGUCAGCGCGGGAGCCAUACCGGGCACGCGCUUUCAUGGCGCCACGUCGAAGAUGUUCAAGUGCUAGCCCGGCAGCUUGGUGCCCUGGCUGGCGUUUCCCGCACCUCGGCAUGGCGUCGGCUCCGGUGACAUCUGCAUUCAGGCGCAAGUGAGCUGCGCGCCUGCCGGAUGUGGGAUGGCGGGCCAUUCUGCACGCAUUUUAACAAGAAACGGUUCCCUAAGUCCAUUAGCUUUUUCCAACCCAGACGCAGCAAUUACCAUAGCAAGCUGAGGAAGUGUUUCCUGCCCUCUCUGCACCCGGCUGCAAAAGGCAUCGAGCGAGCACACAGGCAGGAGCCCACCCUCCCUCCCCGGCGAUUUGCUUGCCGUGGCGUCAUGGUUAAAGGCAGCUUGCAGCUAUGUCUGAGACACUUCUGUGCUCGGUUUCAGUCUGCAGCAGCAAUUAGCCUUCAAAGUCAUUGGUCAGACUCAGUGAAGGGUAAUGGUGACUUUAAAACUGCUCCCAGGAAUUAGAUAAACAGUCUCUUAGGGCUCAGAAGAAAUCUUUCUCUCACUCCUAAAAUUUUUUUUUAGUGUCUUGCACUUUUAGUUAGUGACAGUUUUGCAAAUUGCUAGUAAAGAACUUAAAUGUCUAAUUAAAUCUCGAAGAUGUACAAGAGUUUGAAGAGCGUGAUUGAUGCCCACAAAGGUAUGGCUGCCUAAUGGAGUCGUCCUGACAGCAAUCGCGAAAGCCCAUUUAACGGCUGAUGUCUUGUUGUGAUCCAUGUUGUCAUUUUUUCAUUACUGAUUAAAAUUAAAAAUCUGCUUGGCAAAUCCAUUGUAAAAAUUUCCUUCAUGAAAAUCGACGGGUACAAAUUAUUUUGUCAAUCGCCUGGCAAUCAAACUGUGACUGAAGACUGUUUCAUGCCCAUAGAUUUUUUUUUUCUUUUUGCUCAUGCCAGUGAGUUUUCAUAGCAAAGUUUUUAAAGUGUAGGUGGCAGUCUUGGCAAUGCUUAAUUUUUUUUUAAAUAAAUAAAACUGCAGCUCUAUAUUUUAAUGAAAUGUUUUGUUUAUGUUGUCUUCCCAUUCCCAUUUGAAAGCAAAUGGGAAUGUUCCUCACUCUGCAAGUCGGGCUAUGCUACAUAAUUGUCUAAUGCUGUGUAAUGACAGGCGAAUAAUAGCAAUAAAAGCCUUUAUUAGGAUAAAAUCUGUUUUGAGAGAGGAAGUGUAAACUGUCUAAAAUGUACAACUGAAAAAAAGAGGAAAAACAAGGACGCCUUGCGAGGGUGCCAUUGGUGUAGCUAGCAGAUACGUAUGGCUGAACCGUGUGGUGGGGUUUUUGCUGCAGUGUCUAUGUGCCGUGUCCGUGCCCCAGGCGGUGGCCAGCACCCUCGGCACGGCUGGGGCACCCAGCGGGCCCCAUGCCAGUGCCUGGGUGUCUGCCGGGAGAGGGGCACGGCCGGGACAUGGCCGGGACAACGCGGGCUGUGGUGGGAAGCAGCAGUAACGCAGUUCCUGCAGCUCUGUAGCGAGUGGGUGCAGCAAUAGCGAGAGCUCAGUGUCGUAGGGAAAGUGAUCUAGCAAUCCUGAUUUCUCUUUAAAAUUCAAAAUAUGCUUUGCUCCGGCUCAAAACAAAUGGACAACCCAAGCAGCAAGAAAAACAUUAUUGUCGCAUUAAUAAAACUUUUCUCUCACUUAAUUGAUAUUUCCUCUUCUCAUAAUUGUGUCUCAUCGCUGAGUAUAAAUCAAAGAUAAUAAAAAUAGCUCUCCCUAGCAGAUAUGUGUGCUAGUUUCAAGUUUGAGCUCUGUUGCUGUUCUUGCUUAUCUAAUCUAAUCAGUGUAUCUUUCUGCAGGUUCAUAUAUCAUCACUGUGAAUAUGUUGUAUUUCAGACAACAAGAGAAAAGGAAUGUUUUGUUUAAGUUGCAAAGUUGUUUCUUUAUUGUGAUCUUUAAAUAAAAUAUUGAAAUGUAUUCUGUGC